GUUUUUCUAUAUAUGUAAUAUAAAUCUUGUUUCAAAUCUUUAUUAUUCUGUUUAUGGAAGGC
rnacentral:pre_miRNA from 1 species